UGCUCCUCUUUCCUUCGUUCUUCUCAGUUUCUGUUCUCUCUCACUUCCUCGCGUAUCAGGGAAGUGUUGCAUGAGGGAAAAGGGGAAAGCAGACAAGCCUUUGGAGAGACAGAGAAAACGUUUACUAUAUUAAAGGAAUAUAUAUGUUGCCUCGAAUAGGUACAUUUUUCUCAUAAGGGAUGCGGGUUUCCAUCCUUUAUCGUUUUAUAUUCUUAUAGCUUAUUGAAUCCAUUUCUGUCCAAACCUUUCCUUUAUGCCAUUUGAAAAUUCUUGUUUACUGUUGAUGCUGCUAACGGUUUAAAAAUUAAAUGCAACUAAAUAUUUCUUGCAGCAUGACAUAAAGACUGCUGGUGGAAGUAAUCUCAACAACUUUUCCAGUUAGAAGUUUUUUAUGACAUCUAAUCUUUGCUAUCAUGGCAGUGAGAUGAAAGUUUAUUAAACAGAUUGAAACUCAUAGGAUUACAUCCUGAUCCUUAUGCUCAAUAUAUCCUUUGAUGUGGUUAGAAAGAUCUUGAAAUAUCAAUAAUUAAAUGUUCUUUUUUCAAACAAUAAUUAAUCCUUUAGUUACUUUCUACAGAAAGUGUUAAGCUAUUCAUUUCAUUCAUCCAUUACUGAUAGAAGUGGUAAGAGUGCAAUCACUAAAAAAAGGAUGUAAAAUAAUGUUGCAGUUAGCAUCUCCAGAUGCCUACAUUAUACGUAGAACAUGGGCAUUCCAAUCCUUUAAAAUAAGAAUAACAUUCUCAAACAAAAACUUCAUGUGCAUUCAAUAGCUGAAAUUCUCUUAAAAGAUUUUAAAGAAAAACAGUGUUUAUGCUAAACGAAUUAUUCGCUCGACUGAUUGAAAUUCACCUCCACAGAGAGUCACUACAAUUUGUCGCGGUAUGGAAGUGAUGAAAUUAUUCUAAUCUUAAAUUCUUUUACUGGUGUAUAGCGCGAGGAGUUUUUAGGGAAUACCUGAAGUUUACUUAUGCUUGAAUUUCUAUUCAAAGUCCCCCAAAAUUUCAUACGUCAUUGGAAGUUCAAAAGGUAUAAUCUUUAGAAAUUCAAACUGCUCUUUUUGAGGAAAGGCCUUAAUCACCUGGUGCUUUCUGUUGUUCCCUCUUUCUGUCGAACAUUCCUCAAACAGAGAGUAGAUUCGUGCAAUAUUUGCUUUCUUAAUUUAUGUUGCUCUUUUUAAAUCUUGAGGAUUAUUGUUUGUACUGCUCUCAUGAAAUCUCUAUUUGUUUCUUGCUAAUAGAAUAUGUUCAAGAUCUUGUUCAGUUAAAGAUGGGAAGUAUGUGAAAGAAUUAGAAGACUGCACUAUCGAUUAGUGCUUAUGCCAUCCAUGAACCAAAAUAAAAAUGAAUUUUUAGCAAAGAAUGAGGCAAAAUGGUUGCGUCUUUUACUCAAGGUCAGAAAGAUCUGUUCGUCUAGAAAAUAUUGAUAGGAGGACUGCUGAGAUUCUUGUGUCAAGUAGCCACUUUUACUAUUCUCUUAUUUGUGAAGUUGAUGAUUUCGGGGAAAUUUACGAUGAGUUGGUUUGGUCUAUUUUCUUUAAUGAGUUCGGAAUACAUAUUACUGCUAUUUCAUGCAGUGAAGCUUCUUAGGAAAUUAGAAAAGGAAAAUUAUUGUCUGAAAUAAUUAUUUCCAAAUAUAUCUUUUGACUUUGGUAUUUGCCUUUUCCAGUGUUCAUCUGAGUUGAGAAAUUAGAUGCUAAAGAUAUUGGUCAUCUGUUUAACAUAUUCAUAGAUUGUAGACUACAAAACUUGAGUAGAUUAUAAUGUUGUCUAGCAUCUUUUCUGGUUUUUGCUUAUGCUAGAUGUUUUUCGGGUUCACUGGCGUUUCAUAAAGAAUUUCUUUCAUGUGCAGAUUACGUGACUUAGUUAAGUACGAUGUGAAGUUAUCCACUCAAAUCAACUAAACGAAAUAAUGACAAGGCAUACAUUGAAAAAAUACAAGAGAUUGUUGAUUAAAUCGAUUAGGUUAGUCAGGACUUCUACCUUUAAAACUUCCAAGGGAAAGGAUCAACACUAUGAAAUCUGGAUUGCUUAUUUGUUUGCUUACAUUUUGUGUAUUCUUUCUUUAUCUUUUGUUAUUGAACUCUGCAGAAGUUGAAGUUAACCAAGUCAAUCUGGCAAUCAAAUUUUAUCUAAGUUUAUGCAGAAUUUGAUUAUGUCUCUGAGACGUUUACUUAAGAAUUCCUUAGAGAAGGUACGUAACCUCUUCUUUGAGUGCAUAAAGUUCCAUUUGUUUGAUGAGAAAUAAAAAGGAAUAUCGAAAUUCGAGUGGCUGAAGCUGAAGCAGCUACUUUCGAAGUUAGUGCUCCGAUCUUUUAGUAACCAUUGUUUGAAAACUUCCGGCUAUCAAGAAGAUGAAAAGCUAUGCGAAGUAAACGAGUAAAGGGUCUGGGAGAUGUCCUUGUAGAUCACUUACCCAGCUUUGGAAGGACAUGAGUGGAGAACUGUCACCAGAUUUGAUACAAAAACAAUAGGGCAGAGUUACCUUAUUUUUUUGGCGCUAUUCCACUGGAUAUUCUGACAAGAAGAUCAGUGAGGAGCAAAAGAGAAGGCUAUCACUUGGUUGUUCAUCAAAAUUUGACGUAGACAGCUACUGUGACUUUAAAUUAUUGAGAAUGCUAAUUUAAUGUCAACAUGACGACAAGUGAGGGAUGGCUUAGUGGUUAAGCACCUCCACCCACGAUCGGUAGGUCCUGAGUUCGAGUCACACUGGAGGGGAAGUGUGGAAACACUAUAAAUUCUCCUAAAUGAGGGAGGGAAAAAAAAAAAGUCAACAUGACGGGUUACAAAGGCAAAAAGUAGAGAAUAAUGCAUUGUACAUGUUGUAUCAUAUGAGACUGUACAUCCAGCUAAAGCAUAUAGUGAAUUUUCGUCCUCCUAUGUGAACAGUAUGCCUGCUUUGGCAUGUCAUUUGAGAUUUGUUCAUUUUUACCAUAUAGCCCAUAACUUCAAGAGUUUGAGAUGUACCUCUGAGAAUCCUACUGUCUUUGCCCUUACUAAGGAGUUACAAGAUUCUUUUGAAUUACCGGCGACAGUUUUUUAAUUAUUUAUGGAAGGCUCAGUCAA